GAAGGAUCAGCCAGCGACCGCCUACCCGCUCCUGCGCAGGCGUCGAUCUCGCUCGCACAGCAGUGCGCAGAUGUGGAGCGCGUGCACCUGCGUGCUGGGUACAAUGAAGCCUCGGCGGAACUUUAUUCCCCAGCCCUGACCCUGAUGUCUCUUGUGGGCUCCGCUUCCGGGUUGGAGAGUGAGAAGCGAGGGAAACCGGGACGGCGCUUGGAGGGUGUGGCGUGGGGCGGGGCCGAGAGAGGCUUUCCCGAGAGUGCAAUCACAGCUUCUGAUUGCGACAGAAUAAGGUGUGGAAAAGACAUUGACAUGACUGAACUGAACUGAAGGGGAAAGGCCAGGAGAGGACAGAGAUUGAUCAGCACAGAGCAAGGAAGAUUGCAGAGUCAAGAAGAGAACCCAGGUUUCGUAAGUCCCAGUCUAGUGGUUUAUUCACUUGGCUAUGCUUCCUCUCUAAAGCAAUCUAGCAGAAGAUGAUUAAAGAACUAGAAAAUGAAACCAUGGUGGCAGAUAAGAUCAUUCCAUGGCAGGGUAUAUAGAAAGAAGAGAGAACCAAGGACAGAGCUUUGAAGGAUGCCAUUGGAAAAAGAAAGAUCCUGCUUAGAAAUGAAAGAGUGUUUGAGGAAGGAAUCAAAGGAAGAGAAAAAUCAUUGGUGUUUGUAGGCAUUUGAGUCAAUCGACAUGAAGAAAUAAAGGAAAGAUGUAAAGGAAGAUGGCAGAAUGGAAUGGAGAAUACAUGUGUAGUGGAGAAAUUCCAUUAAUUAUCAUAUUUAAGUUCAAUGUAUAUAAUUAUAAUUUUACAGUAGUAGCUAAUUAAAACAUCCACCGCUAUGGUAUUCUCCAGAUAGCACCCUUUUUACUUAAAAAAACAAACACACACACAAAAUGAAUAAAAAUAAAUGUUUUCAGUAAAAGCAAAAUUAGGGAGACCACACAAACAAAACCACCAUGUGGGUAUUUUAUGAGGUGUUCUGUACCUCUCAGAAAGUGUGCCUCUUUAGGUCCAGGGUAGAAACAGGUGGAUGGGUAUUUUACAAGGGAUGACCAAUACCCAUCAGAAUGUGCAGUUGUAGAUUGCUUUUGCCAGGAAUAAAAAUGACUGACUGGCUGGCACAUGCUCAAUUUAGGCAAACCACCCCUUGCCACACGUGGCAUAAAAGGCAGUAAGAUUUGUCAGCCAUAUUAGGUAUGGGCAAAUGUGGCCAUUUUAGUGGCCAUCUUAGUUAAGGUCAGGAAGCCCAUAGAAUUUUAUGGAUGACUGCCAUCAUAGUUAAUGGCAAUAUGGCCACACUGUAUGACCAUAUUGGAUGAAGGAAAUGGAAGGGAGGGCACAAUCACAUUUCUCUUCCUAGGCAAUUGGUGUUUAUUUGAGGCCAAUGGAAUGAAGUAGCAGUUGAGUCAUGUCCACACCUGCCUAACUUCCUGGCCUAAGUGUCUCAGGAUAUCGGAGUUUCUCAGGUCCUAAGGAUUGCCUCAAAAUCUCAGCAUCUUUUGCUGCAGUGGCCCCCAUGAAUUCCAAAUUAACUGUAAUCAUUCAGGGAAAAGAUCUUGGUGUUAUGAGCAACUCAGUGGAAAGAUCUGAUUAUUGAACAGUGGUGAUCAAAAAGGCAAACAAAUUAUUUGGAUGUGUAAUGAAGAGGUAUUCACACUGGAAGUUGUGAGCAUUGUCUGGGAGUCAUAACCACCCUGCCUUUCUCAAACUGCAAAGUGGGAGGGGACUACGACUUGAUCCUAGCUAAAUGUGUGGGGUGCUGCUGACAUGCAGGUCCUGAUAUGGAAAAUUGACUUGCAGUAUAGAAAAGAUUCAGAACUCCUGGUGUAAGAAUGAUGUAGAAAAUAAUAUGAUAGUGCUAUUAUAUAAACCAGUAGUACACACUCACCUGGAACAAUGGUCAGCCAAUGUCAAGUGAGACACAGCAGAAACAGGGGGCUCCAGAGACCGGCAAUUAAAUUGAAUAGCAGCAUGGAGAGACUUCCUUAUGGAAAAAGAUGAAAAGAAUAGGAUUUAAAUUUAGAGAGGAGCUGGAUAAGGCCCCAAUCUCUCAAAUACUUACACGUGUUUAUUUUACAUCAGUGGUGCCUGCUUACUGUAUCUGAGAGUCUGCAUCUCUUCUAGUGUGCUGCUUUUGAAGCAAUGGUAACCGGUGGAUUCUAAAGAGACAGAUAGUAGGACAAUGUUUUCCAUGAGGGGCCCUAAUUCUGGAACUCACUCCUCACCCUGGUUUAUCAGGUGCUGUUUUUUGUUUGUUAGUUUUGAUCUCGGUGAUUUUUUAAAUUUUGUUUUACUCUUCCACACAUACUGCAAGUUCCAUCUAGAUUUGCAAGUAUUUGAGGAGAGAUCGGUUUGAAAAAUGUGAUGAUUGUAUGCGGGAGGUUGUUUUGGUAAGGUAAUUUGGAAGUUUGUAGUAGAGCUGUGAAUUGACAGAGAUCUGCAUCCUAGUCCAAUACUUUUACAAGACUAACUUUCCUCAAACCCAAGCUAUACACUGCCAAACUGUCACAAAAGAAAGCAUUAUUGCAGGGUAACAGGCAAAUACAUUUCCUGUGAACCAUAUUACAGAUAAUCUGCAUGUUCAAACAAGAAUGUUUUGUUCACAAAAAUCUUCUGAUAUCCACUAGAGGGUUGGAGGGAGAUGUGGGCAAUUGAAAAUAUUUAAUAUGUGUGGAAAGUAUACUAUCUUUAUUGUAAAAAGUCUCCUUUUUGCUGCUAUGAUGCAGUGAUUGGAAACUUAAUCAAUCUUUUCUUAGGUAGCAGAAGUGCUUUCACAAAAUUAAUUAAUGAAGGGGAAACAGCAUUAUGACAUUUUGGUCACCCCCUCUGUCAUUGUUGAAAUGUUCCUGUUGCAGUAAUUAGUAGAGUAGCUAGUAUUAUUUGAAUGCAUGGUAAUUCAAGCCUUCAGAGUGUCUAUGGGUGCAAAUGAAGUAGUAGCAAAGCAUAUCAGUUCUGAAUUAUGCAAUGAUCCAGUCUGAAUCCCUGAAGAGCUUUUUGUCUGAGAGCUGUACAACACAGAUGCAUGGCCUACAAAUAUGUUCUGUAGUAGGCUGUCACUUUCUUUGCUGAUGCAUUGGAAAUAUAUGAUGAAAGAACAUGUCCCCAGAAUGCUAAUCUUUGGUUGGUUGCAGUGACAGAGAAAUAUUUACUAAUGGGUUAUUUGCUAUUUUAAUGGUUGGCGUUGCUGAUAAAGGGCCAGAUUUUACUUGGCGUUUGUGCAGAUAAGUAUGUGUUGGGGAAGUCAAGAAGCCUGUCACAAAUGCAAUACAUCGAAGGACUGGUCUACACUUAAAAGUUUCACCAGUACAGUUAUUGGUUAGGAGUGUAAUUUUUACCAACAUAAUUAUGCAAGUAAAAGCCCUAGUGUCUGUGGAUGCAAUUAUAUCUGUAUAAAAAUGCCUUAUACUGGUAUGGCUUAUUACAUUUCCUGAAACUCAACAAGUUAUACUGGUAUAACUGCAUUCCCACUUUCAGUAUAUUGGCAUAGUUAAAUCAGCAAAACUUAGGUCCUUAGGGCAUGUCUACAUACCUUUGUUGUAUCAAUUUAACUAUAUUGGUUUAUAAAUUAUAACUAUA